UGGAAUGUAGCUCAGUGGUACAGUGCUUGCCUAUCAUGCAUGAGGCCCUAGAUGCAAUCCUUAGCACUGCAA
rnacentral:tRNA from 1 species